rnacentral:rRNA from 1 species
GAACGCAGGGAACUGAAACAUCUAAGUACCUGCAGGAAAGGACAUCAACCGAGACUCCGCAAGUAGUGGCGAGCGAACGCGGACCAGGCCAGUGGCAAUGAGGAAUAAAGUGGAACGGAAUGGAAAGUCCGGCCGUAGCGGGUGAUAGCCCCGUACACGUAGAACACUCAUUGUCCUUGAGUAAGGCGGGACACGUGAAAUCCUGUCUGAACAUGGGGAGACCACUCUCCAAGCCUAAGUACUCGUGCAUGACCGAUAGCGAACAAGUACCGUGAGGGAAAGGUGAAAAGCACCCCGACGAGGGGAGUGAAAUAGUACCUGAAACCGGAUGCCUACAAGCAGUUGGAGCCCGAAAGGGUGACAGCGUACCUUUUGUAUAAUGGGUCAACGACUUAGUGUAACUAGCAAGCUUAAGCCGAUAGGUGUAGGCGCAGCGAAAGCGAGUCUGAAUAGGGCGAUUGAGUUAGUUGCAUUAGACCCGAAACCGAGUGAUCUAGCCAUGAGCAGGCUGAAGGUUGGGUAACACCAACUGGAGGGCCGAACCCGCAUCUGUUGCAAUAGAUUGGGAUGACUUGUGGCUAGGGGUGAAAGGCCAAUCAAACUCGGAGAUAGCUGGUUCUCCGCGAAAUCUAUUUAGGUAGAGCGUCGACCGAAUACCCUCGGGGGUAGAGCACUGGAUGGGCUAUGGGGACUCACCGUCUUACUGAUCCUAACCAAACUCCGAAUACCGAGGAGUACUAGUCGGCAGACACACGGCGGGUGCUAACGUCCGUCGUGAAAAGGGCAACAACCCUGACCUCCAGCUAAGGUCCCCAAGUCAUGGCUAAGUGGGAAAGGAUGUGAGGAUCCCAAAACAACCAGGAUGUUGGCUUAGAAGCAGCCAUCAUUUAAAGAAAGCGUAACAGCUCACUGGUCUAAAUAAGGGUCUUUGCGCCGAAAAUGUAACGGGGCUAAAGCCAUGCACCGAAGCUGAGGAUGUGCAGUUUACUGCACGUGGUAGCGGAGCGUUCCGUAAGCCUGUGAAGGGAGACCCGUGAGGGCUCCUGGAGGUAUCGGAAGUGCGAAUGUUGACAUGAGUAACGAUAAAGGGAGUGAGAGACUCCCUCGCCGAAAGACCAAGGGUUCCUGCUUAAAGUUAAUCUGAGCAGGGUUAGCCGGCCCCUAAGACGAGGCGGAAACGCGUAGUCGAUGGGAACCACGUUAAUAUUCGUGGGCCUGGUGGUAGUGACGGAUCUCGUAAAUCGUACUUUCUUAUUGGAUUGAGAGUGCGGUGAAGAGGUUCCAGGAAAUAGCUCCACCGUAUAGACCGUACCCGAAACCGACACAGGUGGUCAGGUAGAGUAUACCAAGGCGCUUGAGAGAACUAUGUUGAAGGAACUCGGCAAAUUGCACGCGUAACUUCGGAAGAAGCGUGACCCCUUUGUACGCAAGUAUGAUGGGGUGGCACAGACCAGGGGGUAGCGACUGUUUAUCAAAAACACAGGGCUCUGCGAAGUCGCAAGACGACGUAUAGGGUCUGACGCCUGCCCGGUGCUGGAAGGUUAAGAGGAGAGGUGCAAGCUUUGAAUCGAAGCCCCAGUAAACGGCGGCCGUAACUAUAACGGUCCUAAGGUAGCGAAAUUCCUUGUCGGGUAAGUUCCGACCUGCACGAAUGGCGUAACGACUUCCCCGCUGUCUCCAGCAUAGACUCAGUGAAAUUGAAUUCCCCGUGAAGAUGCGGGGUUCCUGCGGUUAGACGGAAAGACCCCGUGCACCUUUACUAUAGCUUUACAUUGGCAUUCG